AAAACCCACGGGACCAACACGCGAAAAAAUAAUUCACUAAGAGAAAAGAUUACAAGGUGAUUACCAACUCCACGGACUCUACCUCUCUUAACCUCCUAUGAAUCUUCGCGCUACCCUCCGGGUUGUCCACGCCCUCACGUCCGAAUCCACGAACGCCUCCACUUCGAAUCCACGAAGCUUCAAUCACGCCGAAUCCACGACGCCACUCGAAUCCACGAGCCCACGAUCCGAAUCCACGAACCGCCGUCAAAUACGCCGAAUCCACGACGCCACCAUGAAGAAUAUCAUGAAUAUGGUGAUCCUUCGCUUUGGAGUGUUGUAGAAAACCAAGGAAUAGAACUCCAAGCAAAGC
rnacentral:lncRNA from 1 species